rnacentral:rRNA from 1 species
UACGGAGGGUGCAAGCGUUACUCGGAAUUACUGGGCGUAAAGCGUGCGUAGGCGGUUAUUUAAGUCGGAUGUGAAAGCCCCGGGCUCAACCUGGGAAUUGCAUUCGAGACUGAAUAGCUAGAGUACGGUAGAGGGAAGUGGAAUUUCCGGUGUAGCGGUGAAAUGCGUAGAUAUCGGAAGGAACACCAGUGGCGAAGGCGACUUCCUGGACCAAUACCGACGUUCAGGCACGAAAGCGUGGGGAGCAAACAGG